rnacentral:rRNA from 1 species
AUUGAACGCUGGCGGCAGGCCUAACACAUGCAAGUCGAACGAGUGGCGGACGGGUGAGUAAUGUCUGGGAAACUGCCCGCUGGAGGGGGAUAACUACUGGAAACGGUAGCUAAUACCGCAUACCAUCGGAUGUGCCCAGAUGGGAAUAGCUAGUAGGUGGGGUAACGGCUCACCUAGGCGACGAGCCCUAGCUGGGCGGAGAGGAUGACCAGCAACACGGGAACUGAGACACGGCCCAGACUCCUACGGGAGGCAGCAGUGGGGAAUAUUGAACAAUGGGCGCAAGCCUGAUGCAGCCAUGCCGCGUGUAUGAAGAAGGCCUUCGGGUUGUAAAGUACUUUCAGCGAGGAGGCGUUACUCGCAGAAGAAGCACCGGCUAACUCCGUGCCAGCAGCCGCGGUAAUAC